rnacentral:lncRNA from 1 species
GAAUAUUUAAGAUAUCAAAAACUUCAGUUACUUGUAUUUAUAAAAUGUCUUUAGUUUUAAGUGAGAAAGAAAACAUUUCAAUUUCGUUGAGGCUAUUACAUCCAUCAGUUUCUGCCGUCAAGGUUUUCGGUUUGAGAUUUACAAUAGUGGAUGAACAAGUGCACAACAUUAAAACUAGAUGUUUCCAAUUUUACUCCAAUCUGAUAGCAAUUUUUUUCUUUUCCAAUGCAUUUUUAUUUUUAUCAAUGGCGAUUAGGAGCGAUAUCGUUUGUGCAAAAUCCUUUCGAGUAUUUGCAGGCAAACAAGGAUA